UCUCGUGCGCAGUUACGGCUCGCACGGAUGACCUGCAAAAAGUGGUCAGCUUAUUUAUCCUGCUACGGCAAAUACAUUACGGGGUCUGUAAAAGUCAGAGUAGUGAAAUAUCGAAAAAGACAAGACAGC
rnacentral:sRNA from 12 species